UACGAAGGGGGCAAGCGUUGUUCGGAAUUACUGGGCGUAAAGGGCGCGUAGGCGGCUUACCAAGUCAGGUGUGAAAUUCCCGGGCUCAACCUGGGGGCUGCGCUUGAUACUGGUGAGCUUGAAUGCGGGAGAGGAUAGUGGAAUUCCCAGUGUAGAGGUGAAAUUCGUAGAUAUUGGGAAGAACACCGGUGGCGAAGGCGGCUAUCUGGCCCGUAAUUGACGCUGAGGCGCGAAAGCGUGGGGAGCAAACAGG
rnacentral:rRNA from 1 species